UCGACAUUUUUAUAUAAGAAUCUCCACUUUCUCUUUUUUGUUUUUUCUUUUUCUCUGGUCAGAAGGUGCACACUAGUAGAUACAGAUGGAAGAACACGAGGGAGAGGCAUGUUAAAAAAAUUUAGCUCGUUUUUCUUGUAAGUUCUAUUCUUAGCUGUUCAAUCCAACUUACCAAAUAUAACAAAGAGGAAAAUAGUAGUUUUCGAUUUGUCGAGCUUGAAUGCACUCCAUUGCUGAUGGAGCUUGGAGAAACAAGAAUUUGGCUUCCAGACAAUCCCACACGGAUGAGGGGCUUGAAGUUUUUGAAAAACUGGACUAGAUAAUGGGCCCCUGUAAUUUCAUGGUUGUUUUCUUGAAUUACUAUUUUCAGUACAAGGUGCUAAUUUUCAUAACUGAACAAGGAAGAAAUUUGAGAUACAAUGACAAUUACGUAUGGUUGUAGACUAUCAAAAGAACCAAUGGGUACUCACUAGGCGAAACAAAUUAUGGAUUCGUCUGAUAGCAGGGACGGAUCCAGGAUUGGAUCAAAGAUCAGGUUAACAAAAAUUCAAACCUUCAUUUGAAGGAGACAAACGUGGCCCCAAUGGUUCAGACUUCGAUCAUAUAAACCCACGUUGUAAAGAAUGAGCUCAAGAAAUGAAUAGAGUGGUGAAAAAUAACUCACUCAAUUGAUCGAUUUUAAAUGUAUUGAAAUAAAGAAUUAGUUCGAUUCACUUUGUGGUUUCACGAUUUUUUUGUAGUUGUGCAACUACUAAGAAUGGUCAUCGCAUUUAAUUUCAUCAUCUUAAUUAUGCCCCCACACUAUGUAAAGAUUAUUAGUUAGUCAGAGAUUUUCAUUUUUAAUGCUUCCCAUCUUGUUACGUACAAACGCACACAUUUGCAUGCAUGCAUGCAUGAGCUAUAAGCCCAAAAUUCUAAAUGCAUAAAAUAGUAUGUAGUGUAUUUCGCCCAUGUUUGGUAUAUUUAAGAAUUAGAUUUUUAAUAGAUUUUGAUAAAAGUUGAUGGAUGAUGUAAUUGAUGAGAAGUUAUGGAUAC
rnacentral:lncRNA from 1 species